GGUAGUGACUAUCAGAGAUGCUUUGGUGCCUUCGGGACUCUGAGACAGGUGCUGCAUGGCUGUCGUCAGCUCGUGUUGUGAAAUGUUGGGUUAAGUCCCGCAACGAGCGCAACCCUUAUCCUUUGUUGCCAGCGGUCCGGCCGGGAACUCUAAGGAAACUGCCAGUGAUAAACUGGAGGAAGGUGGGGAUGACGUCCAGUCAUCCUGGCCCUUACGAGUAGGGCUACACACGUGCUACAAUGGCGCAUACAAAGAGAAGCGACCUCGCGAGAGCAAGCGGACCUCAUAAAGUGCGUCCUAAUCCGGAUUGGAGUCUGCAACUCCACUCCAUGAAGUCGGAAUCCCUAGUAAUCGUGGAUCAAAAUGCCACGGUGAAUACGUUCCCGGGUCUGUAACCACCGAA
rnacentral:rRNA from 1 species